UACAGAGGAGCCAAGCGUUGUCCGGAUUGACUGGGCGUAAAGCGCACGCAGGCGGUCGCGCGCGUGGGGGGUGAAAUCUGGCCGCUUAACGGCCAGGCGCCAUCCCAUACGGCGCGACUGGAGUGAUGCAGAGGUCGAUGGAAUUGCCGGUGUAGUGGUGAAAUGCGUAGAGAUCGACAGGAACACCCAGGGGGAAACCAGUCGACUGGGCAUCUACUGACGCUGAGGUGCGAGAGCGUGGGGAGCGAACCGG
rnacentral:rRNA from 1 species